rnacentral:rRNA from 1 species
CCUACGGGUGGCUGCAGUGGGGAAUAUUGCACAAUGGGGGAAACCCUGAUGCAGCGACGCCGCGUGAGUGAAGAAGUAUUUCGGUACGUAAAGCUCUAUCAGCAGGGAAGAAAAUGACGGUACCUGACUACGAAGCCCCGGCUAACUACGUGCCAGCAGCCGCGGUAAUACGUAGGGAGCAAGCGUUAUCCGGAUUUACUGGGUGUAAAGGGAGCGUAGACGGCAGGGCAAGUCUGGAGUGAAAUCCCAGGGCUGAACCCUGGAACUGCUUUGGAAACUGUCCAGCUAGAGUGCAGGAGAGGUAGGCGGAAUUCCUAGUGUAGCGGUGAAAUGCGUAGAUAUUAGGAGGAACACCAGUGGCGAAGGCGGCUUACUGGACUGUAACUGACGUUGAGGCUCGAAAGCGUGGGGAGCAAACAGGAUUAGAUACCCGUGUAGUC